rnacentral:rRNA from 1 species
GACGAACGCUGGCGGCGUGCUUAACACAUGCAAGUCGAACGGAAAGGCCCUGCUUUUGUGGGGUGCUCGAGUGGCGAACGGGUGAGUAACACGUGAGUAACCUGCCCUUGACUUUGGGAUAACUUCAGGAAACUGGGGCUAAUACCGGAUAGGAGCUCCUGCUGCAUGGUGGGGGUUGGAAAGUUUCGGCGGUUGGGGAUGGACUCGCGGCUUAUCAGCUUGUUGGUGGGGUAGUGGCUUACCAAGGCUUUGACGGGUAGCCGGCCUGAGAGGGUGACCGGCCACAUUGGGACUGAGAUACGGCCCAGGCUCCUACGGGAGGCAGCAGUCGAGAAUAUUGCACAAUGGGCGGAAGCCUGAUGCAGCAACGCCGCGUGCGGGAUGACGGCCUUCGGGUUGUAAACCGCUUUCGCCUGUGACGAAGCGUGAGUGACGGUAAUGGGUAAAGAAGCACCGGCUAACUACGUG